rnacentral:rRNA from 1 species
CUGGGCCUACGGGGGGCAGCAGUGAGGAAUAUUGGUCAAUGGACGAGAGUCUGAACCAGCCACGUAGCGUGAAGGAUGACUGCCCUAUGGGUUGUAAACUUCUUUUAUAUGGGAAUAAAAUGUUCCACGUGUGGGAUUUUGCAUGUACCAUAUGAAUAAGGAUCGGCUAACUCCGUGCCAGCAGCCGCGGUAAUACGGAGGAUCCGAGCGUUAUCCGGAUUUAUUGGGUUUAAAGGGAGCGUAGGCGGACUGUUAAGUCUGUUGUGAAAGUUUGCGGCUCAAC